AUUGAACGCUGGCGGCAUGCUUUACACAUGCAAGUCGAACGGUAACAGGUCUUCGGAUGCUGACGAGUGGCGAACGGGUGAGUAAUACAUCGGAACGUGCCUAGUAGUGGGGGAUAACUACUCGAAAGAGUAGCUAAUACCGCAUGAGAUCUACGGAUGAAAGCAGGGGACCUUCGGGCCUUGUGCUACUAGAGCGGCUGAUGGCAGAUUAGGUAGUUGGUGGGGUAAAGGCUUACCAAGCCUGCGAUCUGUAGCUGGUCUGAGAGGACGACCAGCCACACUGGGACGGAGACCCGGCCCAGACUCCUACGGGAGGAAGAAGUGGGGAAUUUUGGAAAAUGGGCGAAAGCCUGAUCCAGCAAUGCCGCGUGCAGGAUGAAGGCCCUCGGGUUGUAAACUGCUUUUGUACGGAACGAAAAGCCUGGGGCUAAUAUCCCCGGGUCAUGACGGUACCGUAAGAAUAAGCACCGGCUAACUACGUGCCAGCCGCCGCCGUAA
rnacentral:rRNA from 1 species